UCAGCGGCGGACGGGUGAGUAACGCGUGGGAACGUGCCUUCUGGUUCGGAAUAACUCAGGGAAACUUGAGCUAAUACCGGAUACGCCCUUUUUGGGGAAAGGUUUACUGCCGGAAGAUCGGCCCGCGUCUGAUUAGCUAGUUGGUGGGGUAACGGCCUACCAAGGCGACGAUCAGUAGCUGGUCUGAGAGGAUGAUCAGCCACACUGGGACUGAGACACGGCCCAAACUCCUACGGGAGGCAGCAGUGGGGAAUAUUGGACAAUGGGCGCAAGCCUGAUCCAGCCAUGCCGCGUGAGUGAUGAAGGCCUUAGGGUUGUAAAGCUCUUUUAUCCGGGACGAUAAUGACGGUACCGGAG
rnacentral:rRNA from 1 species